AUGACUAACCCUACUAAUAGCCUUCAUGAGUCUUGUGAUGAUGCAGGAAAAAGCAGUGAAAAAAUCAUAGCAAAUGGUGAAGAAAAUAGUGCAGCGGAUUCAUAUUUCAUGUGUCCUGGACUGGGGAGCAAAUCCCCCUCGGGAUCUGGUCAGGAGCUGCCGUGCAGCGAAUCCGCCUCGGGGUCGGUGCCCUGCAGCGAAUCUGCUGCGACAGCCCCGACAGGCGCAGGCGCGCGUGCGACUGGCCGCGGCGACUCCCCUCGCGCGCGCCAAUCGCCGUCCAACAGAUGGCAGGUCGGCGCUGGCCUGGGCCGCGCGCGGCUUGAGGCCCAACCGAUCGUCUACAAGUGGCGGGCAGCGACUCGCCUGAUGGAAGCGGGGACAGACCCUUCCUCCUUGGGAUCGGGGGGAGGAUCAGCUUGA
rnacentral:rRNA from 1 species